GAUGAACGCUGGCGGCGUGCCUAAUACAUGCAAGUCGAGCGAACGGACGAGAAGCUUGCUUCUCUCAUGUUAGCGGCGGACGGGUGAGUAACACGUGGAUAACCUACCUAUAAGACUGGGAUAACUUCGGGAAACCGGAGCUAAUACCGGAUAAUAUUUUGAACCGCAUGGUUCAAAAGUGAAAGACGGUCUUGCUGUCACUUAUAGAUGGAUCCGCGCUGCAUUAGCUAGUUGGUAAGGUAACGGCUUACCAAGGCAACGAUGCAUAGCCGACCUGAGAGGGUGAUCGGCCACACUGGAACUGAGACACGGUCCAGACUCCUACGGGAGGCAGCAGUAGGGAAUCUUCCGCAAUGGGCGAAAGCCUGACGGAGCAACGCCGCGUGAGUGAUGAAGGUCUUCGGAUCGUAAAACUCUGUUAUUAGGGAAGAACAUAUGUGUAAGUAACUGUGCACAUCUUGACGGUACCUAAUCAGAAAGCCACGGCUAACUACGUG
rnacentral:rRNA from 1 species